CGGGCCUACGGGGGGCAGCAGUGGGGGAUAUUGCACAAUGGGGGGAACCCUGAUGCAGCAAUGCCGCGUGAAGGAUGAAGGUUUUCGGAUUGUAAAACCCUGUUGUUAGAGAAGAAAGUGCGUGAGAGUAACUGUUCACGUUUCGACGGUAUCUAACCAGAAAGCCACGGCUAACUACGUGCCAGCAGCCGCGGUAAUACGUAGGUGGCAAGCGUUAUCCGGAUUUAUUGGGCGUAAAGGGAACGCAGGCGGUCUUUUAAGUCUGAUGUGAAAGCCUUCGGCUUAACCGGAGUAGGGCAUUGGAA
rnacentral:rRNA from 1 species